CCUCCCUCGCGCCUGCGCACGAGCCCGCGCGCCCUCUCGGACCUACCCAGAAGGCGCGGUGCGCUCUCGGGUCAGAAUGCAGGCCGGCCUCACGUUGCAGUGUCAAGCAAGUGCUGGAUCAUUUUUGGAAAUGGUAUCAUAAUGCUGCAGGAUUCAAUAAACAACAGACUGGGGUUAAUGUGAGAUCAUACAUCUGAGACUGAAGAUGUGAACGAAGCCAUAGGAAGGCUUCCUGGCCUUCUAAACAGCAGACUGUUUAGCAUUGAGAGAGCCCUGGACCCAACUGAGGCAUCAGAUCUUGCCUAAGGAGCAGUGGACAAAAUAUGAGGAGUUAGAACAGGACAAAUUCUCCCUUGAACUCUAUCUGAAAGAGGUUAUUCGGGAAAGAAGAGAGAAGAAUGGGCAAAGAAGUGAACUUGUAGUUGAAAUCUGUGGAUGUGCCUGGUCUCAGCAUAUUUUUAUGAAGUUGGUUCAGCCUGAAUCACAAUUUAAGAAUUAUUUGCUCUGCAGAUGUCUCAUUUUAAAUAAAUGUUGGAAUUUCUGAAUUCAAA